GUACAGUACAGCUGGCUGUGGAAGCUGGCGAACGUUACCCAGAGCCCGUACUCGUACAUCUGGUCCAACGAAUCCAAUGCACCGGAGCUGGU
rnacentral:miRNA from 1 species